UACGUAGGGUGCAAGCGUUGUCCGGAAUUAUUGGGCGUAAAGAGCUCGUAGGCGGUCUGUCGCGUCUGCUGUGAAAACUCAGGGCUUAACCCUGAGCUUGCAGUGGGUACGGGCAGACUAGAGUGCGGUAGGGGAGACUGGAAUUCCUGGUGUAGCGGUGAAAUGCGCAGAUAUCGGAGGAAGACCUCGUGGCGAAGGCAGGCUCGUGG
rnacentral:rRNA from 1 species